rnacentral:tRNA from 1 species
GCUUCAAUAGCUCAGUAGGUUAGAGCACCUGACUGUUAAUCAGGGUGUCGCCUGUUCGAGUCAGGCAAGAGGCGCCA